rnacentral:rRNA from 1 species
GAGUAACAUAUCGGAACGUGCCUAGUAAUGGGGAAUAACUAAUCGAAAGAUUAGCUAAUACCGCAUACGACCUACGGGUGAAAGCAGGGGAUCUUCGGACCUUUCGCUAUGAGAUGAGCCUGCGUAAGAUUAGCUAGUUGGUAGGGUAAAGGCCUACCAAGGCGACGAUCUUUAGCUGGUCUGAGAGGAUGAUCAGCCACAUUGGGACUGAGACACGGCCCAAACUCC